rnacentral:rRNA from 1 species
GAUCCUGGCUCAGGAUGAACGCUAGCUACAGGCUUAACACAUGCAAGUCGAGGGGAAACGACAUCGAAAGCUUGCUUUUGAUGGGCGUCGACCGGCGCACGGGUGAGUAACGCGUAUCCAACCUGCCCAUCACUUGGGGAUAACCUUGCGAAAGUAAGACUAAUACCCAAUGACGUCUCUAGAAGACAUCUGAAAGAGAUUAAAGAUUUAUCGGUGAUGGAAUGGGGAUGCGU